AUUGAACGCUGGCGGCAGGCCUAACACAUGCAAGUCGAGCGGUAGCACAAGGGAGCUUGCUCCCUGGGUGACGAGCGGCGGACGGGUGAGUAAUGUCUGGGAAACUGCCUGAUGGAGGGGGAUAACUACUGGAAACGGUAGCUAAUACCGCAUAACGUCGCAAGACCAAAGAGGGGGACCUUCGGGCCUCUUGCCAUCAGAUGUGCCCAGAUGGGAUUAGCUAGUAGGUGGGGUAACGGCUCACCUAGGCGACGAUCCCUAGCUGGUCUGAGAGGAUGACCAGCCACACUGGAACUGAGACACGGUCCAGACUCCUACGGGAGGCAGCAGUGGGGAAUAUUGCACAAUGGGCGCAAGCCUGAUGCAGCCAUGCCGCGUGUAUGAAGAAGGCCUUCGGGUUGUAAAGUACUUUCAGCGGGGAGGAAGGCGAUAAGGUUAAUAACCUUGUCGAUUGACGUUACCCGCAGAAGAAGCACCGGCUAACUCCGUGCCAGCCGCCGCGGUAAUAC
rnacentral:rRNA from 1 species